GCCAAAGUCGCAUAAUCCGGUAUUGCGCCAGUCUCGAAAACUGGUUCCUUUGGAAUUCCCGGUUCAAAUCCGGGCUUUGGCG
rnacentral:tRNA from 1 species